GACGAACGCUGGCGGCGUGCUUAACACAUGCAAGUCGAACGGAAAGGCCCCUUUGGGGGUACUCGAGUGGCGAACGGGUGAGUAACACGUGAGUAACCUGCCCUUGACUUCGGGAUAACUUCAGGAAACUGGGGCUAAUACCGGAUAGGAAUCCUUGCUGCAUGGUGGGGGUUGGAAAGCUUCGGCGGUUUUGGAUGGACUCGCGGCUUAUCAGCUUGUUGGUGGGGUAGUGGCUUACCAAGGCUUUGACGGGUAGCCGGCCUGAGAGGGCGACCGGCCACAUUGGGACUGGGAUACGGCCCAGAAUCCUACGGGAGGCAGCAGUGGGGAAUAUUGCACAAUGGGCGGAAGCCUGAUGCAGCAACGCCGCGUGCGGGAUGACGGCCUUCGGGUUGGAAACCGCUUUCAGCAGGGGCGAAGCUUGUGGUGACGGUACCUGCAGAAGAAGCACCGGCUAACUACGUG
rnacentral:rRNA from 1 species